rnacentral:lncRNA from 1 species
GGAGUUCAUGAACCUUCGUGCAGGCUCCAUAGCAAGCCAUCCAGUGAUCUGUCCCCGGCAAAGGGGGCAGAUAAAAACAUGUUGCUGUCCCUCGAGGAAAUUUAUCGGCCUAGUUAAUGUUUGGUCCCCUAUGUGUCUGCGGGGUGAGGUCAUCAGUGCUGAGUCAUCUUCUUGUGGAGUUUCCACUAGUGGAGUUGGUGAUAAUGCACUAGAUGACUUGCGAAACUGACCAAAGCAAUUUGAAUGUCGAGAACUUGUGUCACACAUGUAUGGUCGACAGCCUUUAUCGUGGGAAGAACAUAGUAAUAAGACAGCAUUGUGUGGAUGCUCCAUACAAAUGGGGCAUCUAGCUUCUUCCCAUUCUGCUUCAUCACCAACACGAGGCAAAUAUCUUUCUGACUCGGUAGAAUCAGAAAUCUUCGAGCUGCCAGCGCAAGGAGAUACCCCAGACUGGUCAAAAGAUGAGGAAUUCAUCCUUCUAUCUUUUGACAUUUGAGAUUUUAACAAAAUCAAUGUGCCAAGACUGCUUCCAUAUAUCCAAUCACAAUUUCAUGAUGACGUUAGUUAUCAUAUAUUUAACGGUACAUGUACAAGUUAACAAUAUAAGAUUUUAACAAGUUAACCAAUUCAGUACUUAAAAAAAAACCACAUCAAUUCAUAUAAAAAAUCAAUUUUCUUGUCUUAAAAUCCAGUUCAUCAACCCCUCAUAAUUCUGAAUACAACAAUUCUCUGAUAAUUUUAAAGUUUAAACACAAUACAGAAAAGUACAUGUGGCAUUACAAAUAAGAGAAAUUGUGAGAUUUUGAAUUUAUUCUUGAGCAGUUAAUCAUUAAUUACUAUCUCAAAUUUUUCUACACAAGCCAAUCAGGCAAGUUUAUAGAAUUUAACAGUUUAAGCCUAAAAUUUCCCAAGAUCUUUAACCGACAAUACAUGUAUAAUGAUUAUUGUUUUCAUCUAGCAAUUGAAAAAGUCAAGCACAACCACGACAGAGACAACCAAUCAAAAUCUUAACUCAUCAGAAAACAACCACACCAUACCUUCAUAAACUAAAUCUAAAAAAGGCGAAACAUAAAAAAAUUCGGAAAAAUAUACCUCUUUAUUACAAAAAUUUAUAUAAUCACCAUUUACACCAUAAUUAAUUAUCUGAAGCCGAAGAAACGAGCUAAACAAUCUCCAACAGCCAAAAUUUUAAUCGAAGCAUAAUUUCCAUACAUCAAUAUUUUGACAUCAAAACUUAUGAUCAUAAGAUUAAAAUUCUUGAAACUAGUUGAAUUAUACGGACCUGAGACCAGAUCCGUUUCAGUGGAAGCGAAGCAGGGGAUUUUGUAUUAGAAGAUUGAGUAGCGGCAGAGAAUUUCCAAGAGUGAGCACUGGAGCAAAAUGAAAGAAGGAAACGCGGUGGUUAUAUUUAUAUUGAGACUGACAGUGUAAAAUUACAUAAAAGACCCUCUUACUGUGGAUCCAUUCAAAGUCAUAUUAGAUGGGCUUGGCAGUAACCCGAAUUCAGUAGGUUCUUCGGAAUUUUGUUACAAAUAAUAAUAAUAAUAUGGAUUAAUUUCUACAAUAAUGCUAUGGUGACAAUUUUUUUUUGAUAUAAUGAAUGAUCGACACUCAUAUUGGCGGGCUCGCUUCUUUUUUGAACUUUUUUAUUCAUGCGGGGUUCAUGCGCUGUAAGAAGAUGUCAACCAUUAUGUCAAACAAAAUUUUGAAAAAGUAGUUUAAUUGUAAUUUCUAUUCGUGGUCCUUGUGAUUGUACCUUAACUCACUUUGUAAUUGGGAUAUCACAUUAAAUGAUGAUGUAAUCUACUUUGUCAGUUUUUUUUAACAUCUUGGAUGACAGAAUGAGGUGUGGUAACCAAUGAUUGGAUGACAGAGUUAACUGUUUUAAUUGGCCAAUAAUAUAUUGUCACGUGUCAUUAUGCCAAGGAAGGUGUCAAAAUUAAGUUAUUAUGCCUUAAUUUGUUUUAAUUGGAUUUCUAUACCUUUUUUUUUUUUUUUACAAGGUGUCCGGGCUUGCGUCCGACUAGAUCCUUGUCCCUGAACCUCCGGCCCCUCAGCAGCUCAGGGAGGUAAAUCGCAGGAUGUGCCCUUGUUGGCUCCCAGGUUCCCACAACUCAUUUGGACUCCUUCCGCAAAGAGAGCUCUCCUCACUGGGCGUUUGUUCAACCAAAUGGCUUCCCCUCCAUUUUAGCACCCAGUGUUAACUCCAGGAAUCGAACUCUCCACCCUUGCUUCCAGCGUCCCAGCGAAGUGAUUGUUCCACCAACUCGGAUGUGCCCUGGGGGGCGGAUUUCUAUACUUUAAUUUGAUGUAAGAUGAGUUAAUGUAUUUUAAUCUGUCAUGAUAUAAAUCACUUCGUUCAUUCAUCACUAUAUCUAAUGUUAAAAUUGACAAAGCUUAAAUACUAAGAGUAUCUCCAAGAAAUUUUUAAAAAAAUAAUACACUCUCUAUUUUAAAGAGCCUAUUUUUAAAAUCAUAUCUUUAAAAGCAUACUCCAAUAGACUCUUUGAAUUAACAUUUUUAAUUUAGAGAAUAAGUUUAAUUCUCUCUAAAAUUAAAUGCAUUCAUAGUGUUUUUUUUUAAUGUAGGAAAAUAAUAAAAUAAUUUUAAAAAGUUAGUUAAAAUAAUAAAUAUUUUUGGAAAUAAUAAAAUUAAGUGUUAAAUAUAAAGAGUUGUUGGAGAACUUAAACAUUUUAACUCUCUAAAUUCAUAAAUAUUCUCCAAAUAAUAGAAUAUGCUUUUUAAAAAUAAUGAUUCUAUUAAAGGUGCUCAUUUCCAAAAGACUUUUUUUAAAUGAUAUACUCUCUAUUUUAAAGAGUCGAUCUUUAAAAUCAUACUCUAAUAUACUCUUUAAAUUAACAUUUUAAUUUAAAGAGUGAUUUUGUCUUUCCAAAUUUGGAAAACCAAACUCAUCCUUUAUAAUUAAAUACAUUUGAAUUGUAUCAAUUUUUAAUGUAGGAAAAUAAUAAAAUAAUUUAAAGAAAAGCUAGUCAAAAUAAAAUAUAGAGAAAAAUAAUAAAUAUUUUUUGGGAAUAGUAUAAUUAAGUGUUAAUGUUGAACAAUCGACUUCUAAUUGGUGGAUUUUUCGGGCUCAGUAUACUAAUCUCAACCUUACAACACCCAAGCAAAUAACGACCCAAACCUCCAAUCCUUCUUUCACACUCCGGUUGCUUUACCUUGUACCCACUAAGGACACAAUAAGGAUGGUGUUUUUCAGCCACAAAGGCUAUGAAGAAGCAAGAAGAAAAAAGAAAACCAACCGAGAUAGAGCACAAAACAAAAGAGGCAAAGAGUUUUCUUCCAAAGCCAGGAAACACAUGUGAGAGAUAGAAGACUAAGGGGCAAGCUUAUAUAGUUUAUGUUAGGUCAAAAUUGUGUAGGCCAAGUCCAAUACGAAUACCGGUAAAUGGGCUAACAAAAUAAGCCGUCCAAUGAGUGUGAAAGUUGGGCCAUGAGUAAUACUAAUUAAUUAGGUUGCUUCCUAUGGUCUAAAUAGUUUUAGGAUUGGGUUCUCAUUCUUAGGUGUCGAUAAUUAAUUUAUCCAACAUCGAUUAAACAUCAUCGCCCGAGAUUAUUUGAUAUCAAAAAACCCAAUAAUCUUCACAUUGAUGCUCAAUAAUCUGCAAGCAACCAAAACACAAAGUUUAAACUUGCAUAAUCAAGGUAAUCCAAUAAAAUUAGUAUCAUAGACCUUACCUCGUGUUUCGUUCGAAACACACAUCAUAACUGCUCCAUGUACUCACCGGAGUUAAGGUCCAAAAAACACCCAAAUAGGGACAAGUAUCACGGUAAACAAAUCAUCAUGCGAUGAAGAUAUUAUAUAGGAUACUACACAGAUCUUUUAAGAAAAUCAUGUUUACAUAGAACAACAAAUUAACACUAAGUUAAUUAGCACACGGUCAAACACAAAUGCAAUAAAUGCAUAAAUGACCUUAUGAAAAAAUCUCACCAUACUUAUCCUAUCCCAUUAUGUGUUACUCCCACCUCGAGAACACAUAUCUCCUCUCAUCGCUCACCAUGCUCACUAAACAGACCACUCAACUCGUGUCUAACUGGCAAGUCACAAUAGAUCCUAAGUUCUCGGGAUAAUCCUCUAUCACCACAUCACUUCUCCGAAUCUACGUGGAUAAUGAGCCUCCACCUUACAGAAGUGAUAGAAGUGUCUAUCUCACACUCCACCUGUACAGGGUCUCUUUCACAGAUAAAGGAUUCUACACAUUUGAUCACACCUCCACUCGUGAUUCAAAUGUCACACUCUACAUCUUCCGGUACAAAUCACCAUGUACCUUUAGGCAUCUAUACUCCACCUUACCAAAAGACAUCUAACACACUGCUAAUGCAUCCUAACCCCAACACCAAGUAAUUUCAUUACCUCAAAUUCAUGCAAACACACAUAUCAAACAAAUUGAAAUGCAACAUAUAAUCAUGCAACAAAUUAGGCAAUCACACACAGAUGCAUAUGCAGUGACUAGCUUUACUCUCUCAAUAAACCUCACUGGGGUCAUAGCUCAACCCCUCAACCACAUUCAUCUCACCUCUUAUCUUACCCUUCAGCCUAUCCUUCUUAUUGGGAUAGUCCCUAAUAAAGUGUCCAAAUUUACCGCAACUGUAACACUGUCUACCACUAAACUUGUUCCAUCCCUUGCCCUUUAUCUUACCACUUUCAUUACUUGAGUCACUACUCGAGUCACCACUAUUUUGAGUUCUACCCAAAUUUAUUUGCUUAAACUUCAUCCUACUUAUCAUGUGUAACUCACCAAUCUUCUUAUCUUCAUUUUCAGCCUUAAUUUCCAUCUCUUUACUCCUAAGAGACUAUAUGACAAUUUUAGGUGUUGACGUAUCCCUACCAUACUUAAUGACAUUUUUAACUUCUUUAUAUGGCUCAGGCAUGGAAUUAAGCAGGAUAAUAACCUUAUAUGUUUCAGAUACGGCUUUUUCACAAUUAUCAAUAUCUUGGACAAGUUCAUUGAAAACAUCCAGAUUGUCGUCAAGAUCCUUUGAAUGAUCUAUUUUAAAACUGAAGAAACGCUCAAGGAGAUCAAGUUUAUUGGGAAUGGAUUUAAGCAAAUACAUAUCUUCCAACUUUUUUCAAAUUUUUUUUGUAGUUUUCAAUUUUCUUACUUUUCUCAAAAUAGCGUUAGACGGGUGUAAAAUGAUUGAGGUAUAAGCAAGCUCAUUGGCUGUUUCUUUUUAUUCUUUUGAAAAAUUAGCUGAGAAAUUACCUUCAAUGACUUUUGAAACUUUUUGUUGGACCAAAAUACAUUUUAUUUUUUGUUAUCAAAUUGAAAAAUCACAUUUUCCAUUAAAAAUACCAACUUCGAAAUGCGAAGACAUUUUUUGAAAAAACGAAGCAAUCAAAUGCACGAAUAGGUCACACAAAGUAAACCUACGACCGUAAUAUACAUCGUCCCAGAUUUCCAGGGUUUCGUAAAACUCGCGGUCUCAGAUCAAGGGAACGAUUGAACGGGUAAGGUCUAGGUAUUCGAACGGAAGUAACAACAUAGAGGAAUUUACGAUACAACUAAAUAGGUAUAUCCAAUCAAUGAAAUUUCACGACAAUUUUAGCAUAAAGUACAAUACGUUAAUUUAUCCAAAAUUAAGUACUCAAUCACAAAAAAUUAAGAGCAAGUAAUUCUAAUUUCUAACACAAGCAACGACAACCUCCAAUCCUAACAAUCACCUCACACGAUGAUCUGCUAAUACUGAAAUUUAAAUUGAGAUAAGCCAAUAUACCGUAGCGAACCUAUAUGAGUCCGUAAUUUACGAGAGAUGCGAAUUUAUCACUUUAGGACGACCACUAUUCGUCUUAAAGUCUCUGAAAACUGUAGCAACGAAGAAAUCACGAUCGAGUCUAGAACGCCUGAAGAACAACGCUGUCCAGAUUCUACUGUAGGCCCUGAAACAUAAAAUUUUCAACACAAAAAAUUGUCAGAAAUAACGUAAGGAAGAAACUACCUGAAGGGACCUCCUCCUGCAGGCACCCGUACACGCCUUUGUCGAACGCUCCACCCACUGCCAUCGCCAGCUGCAGUCGCCCAGAUGCCUCGGCCACCCAACACCGCCUCCACAUGCAGAUCACGAUUCAGCCUCCAUUUCACUAAAAGACGUCUGGAUCGCUGGGAAACUAGGCUUACAGGUUUUAUUUUUUAGUGCAAAAAUUGGACAGUAGUUUAUGCCAAUUUCUGCCGAUUUUCUUGUCAAAUUUUGGCCAAAAAUUCCACCCCAACUUCGCUCUGAUACCAAAUGUUGAAUAAUUGACUUCCAAUUGGUGAGUUUUUCGGGGUCAGUAUACCAAUCUCAACCUUACAACACCCCCAAGCAAAGCACGACCUAAACCUCCAAUCUUUCUUCCAUACUCUGGUUACUUUACCUUGUACCCACUAAAGACACAAUAGGGACGGUGUUUUUCAGCCAUAAAGGCUAUGAAGAAGUAAGAAGAAAAAAAAAGACCAGUCGAUAAAGAGCACAAAGCAAAAGUGACAGAGAGUUUUCUUCCAAAGCCAAGAAACACACGUUAGAGAUAGAAGACUAAGGGGCUAGCUUAUAUAGUUUAGGUUAGAUCAAAGUUGUGUAGCCAAGUCCAAUACGAAUAUUGGUAAGUGGGCUAACAAAAUAAGCCGUCCAAUGAGUGUAAAAGUCGGGCCAUGAGCAACACUAAUUAAUUAGGUUGCUUCCAAUGGUCUAAAUAAUUUUAGGGCCGGGUCCUCAAUCUUGGGUGUCGAUAAUUAAUUUAUCCAACAUCGAUUUAAUAUCAUCGCCUAGGAUUAUUGGGUAUCAAAAAACCCAACAGUUAAAAGUUGCUAAAAUUCGAAGUCAAAAUCAAUAAUUAACUUUAAUCAUAUAUUUAAUGAGAAUCACAACUCUUUAACCAUACAUUUCAUUAUCUAUUUUCAAAAUUUACUAAAAUUUAAUUUUAAUCUACACCAAACAGUAGCUAAAGCUCAUUCUGUGUCCUAAAAUGGAUGAUGACACAUGACUAUGAAUAAAAUUGACCCCAAAUAUUACAUUCUUUGAGGCAAAGAAUUGACUUUUUGUAAUGUUUUAUUCACUUUCACUUCGAAGAUGGCAAAAUUUCCCAUCCCUAAUUCGUCCUACAUUGUCUUGACCCAAAUAGUAAACAAGGCAGAAAUGGACCCGUCCUAUAACAAUAUAAAAAAAUUAAUUAGUUAAUUAAUUCCCACCCUGCUUCCAGAAAAUUCCCAAUGGAACAACAAUGGUAAUUGUAAAGUUAUAUAUUUUGCUAGAAGAUAUGAAAAAUAUCAGAGAUUCUAGUUAUACCUCGUCAACCGUCACAAAAGUUGAUUAGCACCAAUAGCCCUUGGCCUUUUACAAAGUGGGGUAUUGAUUUUAAGGGACCCCUAUUAGAAGUAUGUCUAACUUUAGGUUCAUGAUCGUGGCAACAGAUUACUUCAUCAAGUACGGUAGAAGUAGAAACUCUACUACCGAGGCUAAUACUUGUAAGUUCGUUUGAAAAACAUCAUCAGUCAACUCGAAAUCUAGAACUCUAUUAUAUAAGAUAAUGGCGCCCAGUUCCAAAGAAAAAAGUUCAAAGCCAUGUUCGAAGAACUAGGAUUCCAUAGAAUUAUUUCACUCCAUAAUACCCUCAAAUUAACGGAUAAGUGGAAAUAGUAAACAAAACGUUGAAAAGAAUUUUGAAGAAAGCUUGAUUCCUCAAAGGGACUAUGGGCCAAUGAGUUACCAUAAAUUUUGCCGCUAUCGUAUACUACAAUGAUUGCCACUAGAGAGAUUCCAUUCUCAUUGGCUUAUGGAGUCGAAGCUUUGAUACUGAUGAUAGUGAGCCUAAGUUCUACAAGGAAGUUAAACUUUGAUGAAAAACAAAAUGAUGAAGCCAUGAAUGAAAACCUGAACUUCCUAGAAGAAAGGCGAGAUGCUUCUCAAAUGAUACUUGUGGUAUAUCAAAGAAAGAUGGGAAGACAUUUCAAUUCAAAGGUUCACAAGAAAACCUUUAAGAGCCUUUAAGAUAGGCGAUAUAAUUUUGAAGAAAAUCUUUGUUGCAGACAAAGAAAUAUGUAUAUGUUCAAAUUGAGAAGGGCUAUAUACUAUAGUCGAAGUGAUAAGAUUGAAAAUAUAUAAACUUACGGACAAAAUGGGUGAACAUCUUAUACACCCUUGGAAUGGCGAACAUCUAAUUAAAUAUUAUCAAUAAAUAAUGAAACUCUGUUCACUUUUCGUUAAAAUUAUAUACAUUUCUCUUAGUGAACUAAGUUGCUGGCCCAAAACAACUUUUAGUUUCGAUGGUGUUGCAAAUUUUUUAGACUAUCCAAGUUAGGUAUACGAGCUUUCCAACUUAUGCGUAAUACAUAAUGUUGAGCAUUCAAGCAAAUUGACUAUGGAUAAGUUGAUAGAAAAUCCUAAAAAUUCUUUUUAUUACAAAAAUAUAUUACAAAGUACGAAAAUGACUUCACAUAAGCCAUUUAAAAAAUCACAUUCUAAUUGAUAAAAAAAGGAUGGUAACUUAGCAAAUUUCUAUGAAAUGCAUAACAUCUAGUGUUUUUAGAACGAUGCGAACACAAUAUCCCAUUUCUUUUGGUGGAAACAAGUUUGAUGAAAUGGAACGCAAUUGUCUGAUAGCCUAUACGGUGUAGCAGCCAGCAGGAACCAAUGCCUCUUCCUCCUUAGUGAUUUCUCCCAGAUGACAUAUGUGAAAAUGCAAAAACAAUGCGAAAGAUUGCUAUCAGACAAACUAUUUUGAGAAUCAAUUUGAAAUAUUUUUCCUACGGAUCAAUAAUCCUAAAAAUUGUAUAACGGAAUGGAAAAGGUUUAAACCAUUUAUACAGCAAAUGGUUUCAUAGAAUUGCUACAGAUGCUCACAUGGGAGUGGGCUCCACGUGUUUAAAAUAUUGUCCAAAAAAACCACCCACCUCCAUGUUGUGUGUAUUCUGUAGAAGUUCUAUAAACUCAUUUUCUAUACGUGUAGACUCUCUCAAUGGGAAAUAUCUCUUGUACUAUGUGAGGUAAAUCACAAUAAUGACACUAACAAGGUAAUUGUAGUCUUUGAAGAUAUCUCCUGGCCAUUGGAUCCCAACAAAAUCAACUAUGAUCGUCUAAAAAUAAAAUAAUCUUAGACAUUGAAUACGAAAAGGCAUACCCGUGCAAACAUUUUAGAUCAUGUGUGGGUACCAUGUGCAUAGAAAGACAUGGACAUAAGAAAAUGAAUUAAAAUGCAAUACUAAAGAAGUCGUUUCUUCUAAUCACGGGUCAACUAUCAUUAAUGCGUAGAAUAAUGUUGGAUGUUGCAGUAUUUCUUCCUAACCUCAAGCUUAUUAUGAUGAAUCAUUAGAACCCAUACCAUCAAAAAAUUCUGGUAAAAUUAAAGGAAAAUUUCAUAAGUUUACGCAGUAUAUAUUUCAAAAUUAAGAAACAAGGUUUAAAACUUCGAAAAUCUAAUAUUAAUUACAUUUUAUUUAUAAAAUAAAUAUAUUAAGAUCACAAUUCUAUACAAUUUGAUCAUAAUAAUUGAAUUAAUUGAUUACAAAUUAUUUUUCGGUUACAAAUAAAAAACUUAUAGGUUACGAAUUAUUUCUAGAUUACAGAUCAAAAAAUUUAUAGGUCACAAAUUAUUCUUGAUCACAAUUAAAAAAUUUUGUAGAUCACAAUUUAUUUAUCAAUCAUAAAAUUACAAACUUCAUAAGUCAACUUAUUUAACAGUCAUAUAUUAUCAAAUUAAUUGGUCACAACGAAUUUCUCGAUCACAACUUAAUAAAUUGUGAGUUACAAUCAUAUCUUUUAGAUCACAUAUUUAUUGUUCACAAAUUAACUAAUUUAUUGAUCACAAUCAACUAAUUAAUUGGUCACAAACACCCCCACUCCAUCCGGCCAUCUCCACCCACGACCACCGCACCAUAGCCACCACCCUAACCACGACCAACUCACCAAAGCAACUAUAAAACCACCACCACAGCACCCACAACACCAUCAACCCAAAAUGGAGUACAUAUCAAAGGCAUGCUAGGGAAACAAAAUGGAGUCGACGACGACAAUAAAACAUCAUUAUCUCUAGAUAAAAUCCUUAAACUAACAAAAAUAUUUUGAGAAUCAAUUUUAAAAAAAAAAAAUUUUAUGGAAUUAUUCUUCCUAACGAUCAAUAAUCCUAAAAAUUUAAUUGAAUGUAAAAACAAUUACUGUACUUUAUGAGGUAAUUACAAUAAUGACACUAACAUGGUAAUAAUAAUUUUUGAAGAUAUCUCCUGGCCAUUGGAUCCCAACAAAAUCAAUCACGAUCGUCUAAAAAUAAAAUAAUCUUAGCCAUUGUUACGAAAAGGCAUGCCCAUGCAAAUAGUUCAGAUCAUGCGUGUGUACCAAGCGCAUAGAAAUACAUGCACAUAAGAAAAUGAAUUAAAAUGCAAUAAUGGAGUCGUUUCUUCUAAUCAUGUGCCAACUAUUGUUAUUGUGCAAAAUAAAUAGUUAAGUUUGAAAUUUUGGAAAUCCAAUUAACAUCAAUUUUUUUACCGUUAUUUUAAUAUUUCAACCGUCAUUUUUGAAUUCUUCUCUCAGGAGUAGCACCCACUUUAUCUUUAACUGUCAAAAAAUCAAUUAACAAAAUCCCUACCAAACAAGUGAGUAAAAUUUUGGGUCCGCUUACUACGAUGAAUCAUUAAAGCCCAUACCAUCAAAAAUCAAGUAAAAUAAAAUCAUUUUAGGUUCAAAUAAUACAUAAAUUAAACAAUAAAGUCCUAACCCUAAUAUAAAUGAUUAAACUCGGACUUCGGAAACUAUUUGUUAUCAAUUAAAAUUCACAAAGGAUCAAUGACAAACCCAUUCCUUUGUCAAGCAAACGUUUUCAAAGCCAAUCAAAUCAUAUGCGAGCAUUUGUAAGGCACGAACAUAUAAUCAACCUCAAGCAUACCACAACGAGCAAGUAUACUUUAACUGAUUUCACCAACUAUUUCAUAUUAGCAUAAAUCGUUAUAAAAAAAUCAGGUUGAAAAAUAAUGUAAACUAUGACUUCACAACCAAUGAAUGAAAAACACGUGGACGGGUGGAUAAAACUUGAAAAGCUAACACAUUCAGUUAAAAGUUAAAUAAUCAAAGAUUAUCACAUGUCAUUAACGAAGGGACCUAAUUACCCCUAUGCAUUGGAAACCUAUAAAUAGGUAUAGUUGGGAACAAAGAAAGACAUAUAAAUCUAUGUAUCCUCCUCUCAAAUUGACGUUUCUCUUCUUGCUCCUACUUGAGCAUAAAAUCAGUGAUUUUAGAAGGAAAAAAAAAUCUUAGGUAAGAGAAAUUUGUUGAUCCCAUUUUUGAGGUCGACAAGAACAUUCAUUUUUGCUAGUGAAAGUUCUGCAACGGUCAUAGAACUCCAAAAAUCUCGUCCCAGCUAAGUGACUAGUCGACUUUUGGUGCCUAUAUGAAGGAAAAACACGUGUGCAGAAAAAGAGGGAGAGAUCGAUGGAUACAACAUAGUGACAUACUAUUACUAAAACCAAAAUACUUAGCAAAUUACAUAGUACCAAUUCAAAAUCUUUAUUUCACUGCAGGCAUAACAUAACAAAACCGGAUGGUUAACCUAUUUACUACAGAAUUCAACAAAGCUUUUAUUUUACUGCAGGCAAAACAUAACUAAACUUGAUGGAAUAUUGUUUACCACUGAAUUCACUAAUACAAGCCACAGCUAACUACCAUGUGUCUGUCUACAAGUGUGUAUGUUUUCCCUUGUUGUAGCUCCUCCACUUGUUGAUCCUUAGCCACUUCAAUCCGUAAGGGAAAACUUGAAAUUUCUACUCCUAAAACCCCAACCUCGUAUUCAGCCAAUUGUAGACAUCGUCCAUCUCAUUAGGCACGGUAUAAUGACUAAGCCUGCAGAAUCUGAUAUAAUAUUUGUAGUUUCAUCCAAAUGUAUGAGUUAGCUUGAUUUAAAUGUAAAGACUCAAUUACCCGUCAUAUGGUUUAAACACAAGGUUAUGAAAUCCAGCUAAGCUCAAGGCGUUGAAGGACUUCUCUCCUUGUGCAUGAGGGACCACUUCAUCACCUGUCAAAGAAACUAAUGAGGUGAGAAACAAAACAGCUCAUCGACUAUAUUAGGCUCCAUUUUAAUGGAGAUUAGGGGAAAAAUAAGUUUUGGAAUAGAGAUUUUGUUGGAGAAUGUAUGGUCAAAAAGUAAGGAAAAGUUAUUGCUUUACGUGUAAUAUUAUUUUAUGGGUGAAUGCCUGGUUCAAAAUGAGUUUCGAAAAAAAGGGUUUUUGAAAAAAUGGGGGCUAAACACAGGUUUAGUAACAAUUAAGUUUCAGACGAGAGGGAUUCUUGGGGUAUUAUUAAAUAUGCUAAAAGCUUAAAUAUUUUAGGAAUUUAGGAUAUAUAAUAAGAAUGUUUUUAACAUCUUAAGGAAGUAUAAGCAUACAGAAUCCAUGACAGAUCAAAAUGGGAAGAGAUGCGGCACGCCUUGCAGCCUCAUGCGAUCCUGCUAUCCUGUUUCUCACAUUGCUGCAAUUAAUUAUAGACUAAAGGUAAGCGAAUAUCAUUUGCCCCCGAAUAAGAAUAUGAAAAUUUCACAUCUUAGUUUGUAUAUGCAAUGAGCACAAGCAAGAUAAGGUAUAGUCAAAUAAUCAUUGGAUCUUUGAUAAUUCUUGUUUUGUAUUCUAUAGUUUUUGUAUCAUUUGAGACCAAUCUAUGGAAUCUUACCCAGCACCAGGAAGCCACCCGCUUAGAUCAACAACAGCCCUUAAGGUAACAGGGUAAGGAUUGCCAUUUCCAUAUUUUCCAUGAGCAAAGCAAGUUGCAGAAUAAAGGGCAAUUGCAGCACCCAUGCUGAAGCUUUCAAUACCGAGCUUAACUGUACCAGACAGCAUCCAUUGGUAAUUAGAAUAUGCAAUCCCAAAUAUGGAAUAAACCAAAAAGUAAGUAUGAAUUCUGUCAAUGAUGACUCAGAUAUUGACCAAACUUGGUGCAAAUCUCAAAAAAACAGGAAGACUUUUAGGGAUUUGUAAAGAUGAACUGACAAAUCUUCAAAAUUGAUGAUAAAUUGAACUUAAGACACACUAAAAGAUCACCUAAAGAUACGAACAAGACUCUUAACUUCAUACAUAGGUCACCGAUAAAAUUCCGAAUGACACUUUUAUCCAAAAAGGAGUUAAUCUUUGUCGAUAAAAGUUCAAUUUAUUUUUAUUCUUUUGAAAUAGAACAAACGAGUAAUUAGAAUUACGCAAAACUAAGAGAUGACUCGUUACAUUUAAAGAUGUAGUCAACUAACUGUUUACAGUGAACUAUCCACGAUGAAGCAAGAGUAAUAAUCUUACCAUCAGAAGGCUCUGUAGAUAAUAAGUUUGCAAUAUGUGCUGCUGAAGCAUCUAAACCUUAUAAAUCAUCGGAACCAUUUUCAGAAAGCUCUCCCACAUCAAACCCUAAUAUAAAAACCACGAAAAGAGACGUGUGACUUCAACUAAUAGAUCAUUGAAAUCACCAUAUUUGAAUUUUCUGCUUUUUGCUUACAUGCAUUGCAAGGAAUUCUACCAAGCAUCGUUACUGGGCGACUAGGAGCAGUAGGGCAUAUCCAUUUUACCUGCACGACAAAAGUUAAGCACAACAUUUCAGUACAGUAAGUCUAGUCAUGCAACUAAAGAAGAAAAAAGUAAAUUAUACUAAUUAAAAGUAGGAUAGAUAACUUACAUUUGGAAGGGGAAGACUUUCCAAAAGUUGCGAGCAGCUGUGAAAAGAAGUACAGAAAACAAAGAGCAGAAAAUUUUCAUUUUAACUUUCUGCUUUCUACAUUAUAAAAUGACUGCUAUAUACUAUCAUAAAGGAUGAGCGCUUUGCGUAACUAUAGACACUUGGAAUUUUGAUUAUAAGGAGAUAUAGACCAAGUUUGUAAAUAUUUCCAUAAAAAGUACCAUAUGAAAAGGCUCAAAGUACCAAGGGAAGGAAUCAACAAAAAACUUGAAUUCGGAACUGUUCUUGGCAGCCUUCAAAAUUAAGUGAACAAGUGAUUUCAAUGAAACAUACGGUUUGCAGUGCAUACAUGUUUUAUUCAAGAUUUAUAAUAUUAAUUACAUUUAGGCCUGUUUGAGCCGCAUUCUUUGAAAGAAAUACAUUCUUAAAUAGUGAUUUGACAUUAUUUCAACCACACAUUUUUCAAUAAAAUAAUAUUACACUCAAAUUCAAAAAAAAUUCUUAUUUUUUAACCACACAUUCUCUAUCAAUCUACUAUUCCAAAAUAUAUUCUUUCAAAAUAAUGUGGCUCGCACACUUAGACUUGAUAGAGGCCGAGAUAAAAAAAUAUAUAUAUAGUCUUGAUAAAAGGGCAAGUGGGUAAGCAAGACUUAUUUUAGCCAUUGACAUUCUUUCAAGAGGAACUUUCCCAUUUCUUUUGUGACAAAAGGUCCACUUGCUUACUGACACUUUAUUAUCAGGCAUAUACUAAUCACCAGGAAUAAUUAACAGUCAAGUUGAAUAUAGAAAUCAACAUAUCUUGAUCCCCAUAUUAAUAGUUUAAGCUUUUUUUCACAAUCACCCACCAUUGAUACUCAAAUUGAGAAAAUCAAUACUCAUAAUUCAUAAUCACAAAACGCCAAAAUUUAGAAUAGUUCUACUAAUACUGAUUAUUUAGAAUGUGUGUCCUGUGGGUGAACUUGUCUGGAUUCGUUCUCUGAAUUACUUCCUAUGAUAGACUGUCACGAGAAAGUAAAAUGGGAUAUCCAAUUUGCAAUAACGUGAUAUUCAAUUACAUAGAGAAUAUCAGCAACAAAGUGGAACAUGCAAUCAUCUAGGCUUGUCUUGAAUAAUUAGAAAACAAUAAUCACAUCGUGCUUUUUAUUUUCUUCUUCCGCCCUCAAGAUGUUGGAUUCUAAAGUCUAUAAGUAACAGCAAUAUGGGGAAAAAUGAUUUAUCAGCAUUUUAUACGAAAUCAAAUCCAAUAUCACGUAAUAUUGGGUUCUAAAGGCACUAAAACAACAUAAUAGUAAUAGUAAUAGUAAUAGUAAUAAUAAUAAUAAUAAUAAUAAUAAUAAUAAUAAUAAUAAUAAUGGCCUUCGAACUUAGUCUAAAAAUGAGAGCCAAUUCACGAAAUCAAUCAAAAACAGCUGCUGUGCCUUGAUGAAUUAGCACUGAAAAUGGUGACCCAUUGGAGAUCAAACUAAGAAAGAAACAAAUAUUCAAACUUUAGAAGAAUUUAGUGACUGAAAAUCACGUAAUAGCAGAUGGGUAAAAAACGCAUACCUUCACGACAAGACUGUAAAUCACUCGUCAUUCAUCUCUUCUAGCCUUUGAUUGACAGCGAAGAAAUUGUGUUGUUAACAUCAUAGUUAUUACAAUCGACUUGGCUAUUCAGCAAGGUAAUGUCACUCGCUGAAGGAGAGGAUCCUAACCUUUUGUAUUAAAUUAAAAUAAUAAUAAAGAAAACAAAAGGAAAAAGGAUUCUCCUUCUCCCACCGGCCAUCCCAACACAAAAUCUCCAUUGGCCGCCAUUGAGACCUCCUUUACAAAAUCUCAGCCUAGCCACAUCUUGAAACACCCACCCACCAAUUUUCGGUCAUCGCCUAACUUGCAUUUUAACAUAACUCUCCUGGUGGGUGCCACCAUCACAUCCUUCCCACACUUCCUCCCUCAACCUACAGCUGUACCUUCGAAACUGAGAAUUGGUUAAUGGAUAGAGAAUUUUCAUCCAAAGUUCUUUGUUAAUCACUUCAAUAGCCAAAACUAGAUUAACGGGAAAUAAUUUGAAAUCCAAGUAUAUACAUACAGUACAAUGUAUAUAGUGGCGACAGAGAGGGACGGGAAGAGCUGAGUUGGGGGCGGAAGGAGGACCGGAGAAUUAAUUGCCCAAUGGUCACUGAACCUAGGUCAUGUCUUUUAUUGAUCACUUAAGUUUAAAUUAUUACGCUUUGAUUACUAAACUUAAAUCCAUAUUUUCAACUGUUCAAUGAAAUUUAAAAUUUCGAGUUUUAGCUACUAAACCUUGAAAAAUAUUGUACGUUACUCACUAAUAUUAAUAUUGAUCUCUGAAAAAUGUCAAGUUUAUUAGGAGUAAUGUACAACAUUUUUCAAAGUUCAGAGAUCAUAAACUUGAUAUUUUAAAUUUCAUUGACCAAUCAAAGAUAUGGAUUUGAGUCCAAUAACCAUUGAAAAAUUAACUCGGCGACUAGGGGUGUGGAUUGUAAAUUUUGAAUCUUUGGUGUCUUAGGGCCUAUUUGCAAUUUCCUUUGAGGGAAUAGUUUUAUAGAUAUCACGAAAUUUCAAAAUACAUCAAAAGUAGUUAAUUUUACAAAUGACAUUCAAAAAUGUCACUUUUUGAGUAUGAAAUGUUUAAAUCAUUCUUAAAUAUAUCUUUUUGGGAUUCAUGCUUUGUAUUAAAUGCUAUUUUGAGUUGUAUAUUAAAAAUUAUUGGAUAUAUGUAUAUUGUACAGAGAGAGAGAGAGAGAGAGAGAGAGACAACAACAGAUUCAUAUGAAUGUAUAAAUUGAUUUUCAUGCUCAAAAAGUUUCAACUUUCUUCACAUAUUCUCUAUUCCAACAAGAAGAAGAAAUUAUUAGUAGAUUCAUUUUGCAUUUUGAGAAGUUGAUAUUUACAAAUUGUUUAUAUUUUUAUCUUAUAAUUUAUUAUUUUUGAAUUACUAAAUACAACAUGGUCAUAUGUAUUUGAAAUGUUCUAAAUUAUUAUUCGUUAAUUCGAUUUGGCUCUUAAAAUAAUUUUGAAUAAAGAUAUCAAUACUUAAUAUUGUGAAGAAUGUCUUCCAAACACACCCAUUAAAUGUUUUUCGUCAAUUUUGACAAGCUGUCGAAACAAAUUGUCAAAUUCAAUAUUUUCAAAAUGUCGGGAUAAACAUUUUAAUUGUCGAUUUGACCCAUUUGCUAUUGUUUAGAUUUAAAUAUUCGAAGGUGCCACUUUCAUGCUAUUAAUUAUGCAUAAUGUUUAUCAUUGCAAUCUUAACUUUUCAUAUUGAUUUUCCAUGGUAAAUAUAAAAGCAAAAGACAUUAUUGACAACCCUACAAAAUCAACGAUUGAAGUUCAAGAAACAAAUUUAAUAGCUUCAAUGUAUGAAUUUGAGCAAUGUUCCAUUUACAUAUUCAACAUCAACAUCUAAAUAUUUGAGUCAUUAAGAAGCUACAAAUUUUGGCAUGCAAACUAAUAGUUGUGACAAUGGGCUGAGCCGAUCCUUAACCUCACGAGCUCGGCUCACGCUCGUGUCUCGUUUUCAACUGAUUUUGGGUGAGCUCUGCUCUGCCCACGAGCUCGUGGGCUGAGCCGAGCUUUGGCUCACAAGCUCGUUAUCUUUUUCGUUUUUUAUUUAUUUUUAAAAUAGAGAAAAACACAAAUAAUGUAAUGAAAACACUUUUUAAAAAAAAAUUAGAAGUGUUGAAAAAAUACAAAUAAUUGAAAAAAGACUUUUUUUUCUUUUUUUUUUAUAUCAUAUUGUAAUAUUUUUUUAUAAAGUAUAAAAUAUUUAUAUAAUGAAGACGAAUUGUUUUUUAAAAUACAUUUAAAAAAUAUAUAUUUUUUAUUUAUUUUUAAAGUAGAUAAAAUGUAAACCCUCAUCCUUUUAUCCGGGCUUAGGGCCGGCUACAUCAAUUUCAAGUAGGCGGAAUUAAAAAUUGUACACGAACAAAUUGUACAAUUUUUUAAAGAAAAAUUAAAUUUAACGAUUAAAAAAUAAGGAAAUUUUGAUUAAUAUAAUUAAAUCAAAUAUUACUUACCUGACGACAUGCAAUUUCAGUAUAUUUAUCUUUUAGUCGAAAAUAAGCGUCCUGCCAAUCCUUCACGCACAUUAACGCUUCCAAAACAUCUUCUUUCAGUUGGCUUCUGACAUCGAUCAAAAUCCCUUUAUCUGCACUAAAAGCAGACUCCGAAGCAACAGUGCUAACCGGAGGUGUCAGCAGAUCUUUCGCGAUUGUAGAAACAAUUGGCCAACGUCUUUCAUACUUUCGCCAGAAUUCAAUUACUUCUUCUGAACUUUUUUUAAUUGUUUUGUUUGUUGACAUAUUAUAAUUGAAGUAAUCAAUUAAUUCAGCAGGCAUCGCAUUUUGAGUUGCAAUCGAUAUUCGAUGAGAUACAAAUGUAGAAGACAUGACACUAGAUGAACACAUUGUAGUUGUAUAAUAUCUAAAUGUAUCAAUGCCUUGAAAUAAAUUCAUUAUUUCAGCAUCAUCUUCUUCAAUUUCAGCUGAAAGAGUAGGUACAGAGGGUCCCUGACUAACAUUCGCACGUUGGCAUAUAAAUCAUACAUUCCACACAAUAUUUGCUCUAAAUUCUUAUAGGUGAUAGGUAUAUCAAGUGUUAAGACUUUAUUGAUUUGAUCAAUUACGUAUUUAGUUUCCAAAAUAUUAUAUCAGGAGUCCAUUGCGCAUACUAAAUGAAAUAACGUGGGCAGUUCUUCCCAAUAUUUUCUAAACUUGAAUUCCAUAGCAAUUAUAAUUUCACUAAAAGUAUGAUCAUUUUUAUAUUUAUGGAAUAUUUUUGCAAUUAUAUAAAAGCGUUCAAGCACCAUAUAACUUGUGGGAUAAUAAACGCCGAAUAAAACCUUUGUGAUCUCAUAAAAAAAUGUCAAAAAUCGUUUAGCUUUCAAAGUUAAAACCCAAUCGGAUUCAUUCAACAUACCAUCAUCAUCACUUCUAACGUGUCUAUUGUUAUAAAAAUCAGUUAUUAAAUGUUCGAAACCUUCACAUGACUUUAAUAGCAAGUAAGUAAAGUUCCAUCUAUGGCCUACGUAGCUAACAAAUGUUUUGCAAUCGUCACGCCUAGUUUAACACAAAAAUCUUCAAAUGCUUGUUUUCUACUAUGAGAGAUCGUAAUAUAUACUAAUGCAUUUAUAAUCCUUUGAAAUUCAUUCUUUAUAUGUUUUAAGCUAUCUUGCACAAUUAAAUUCAAAAUAUGAAACACACAACAAAUAUAAAACAAAUACCCAUCAAAAUCAGGUUGAAGUAUCCUACACAAUUUAUUGACGACUACUUUAUUAACACUAGCAUUAUCAAAAGUAAAAGAUUGAAUUUUAGUCUCGCAAUUAUAUUCUCUAACAAUACCGAUAAUAGCAUUAUAUAUAUUAUUAGCAUUGUGAGAAAAAAUUCAAUAAUUUUAAAAGCAAUAAUUUUUUUAUGCAUGCACCAAAGUGGGUCCAUAUAGUGUGUGGUUGCAACUAUAUAUGCUUUUUUAUUAACCCCUUCCCAUAUAUCAGAAGUUAAAUAUAUAACACCCCCAUAUUGUUAGUAAUCCAUAAUUAAUUGUUGUUUUGAAUUAUUGAAAUAUUAUAUUAUAUCGACACGAAGAGUGUUUCGACUUAUCCCAACGUACCUUGGUUGCAGAUAUUCUUUCACGAGCGAGACAAAGUGUUGAUUGUUUGCAAUAGCCGAAGGCAACUCAGUUGGAGCAACAAAUUUCACCAUUCCAGUUCGAGUAUUGUCCUCUAAAUACACCCACGUAGAUAGGGGUGAAGUCGUAGAACUGGCGCUUGGACUGCUAAAUUGCAAUUGUAUUUGACCAGCUGGAAGAAGUCCAUGUUUGGCCGCACAUGCUUUGUAGUGGCGGUUGAGUGAGUAGUACCAAUUUCUUUUUACCAUGCCAAUCUUUGUUGGCAGUAUUUACGUAGUGCUUUAGAUUCUGCAAGGUCAUCGACGACUUUUUUUGUUAAAAUCAACUGAAAGUGAUCUCAACAUUUUGCUUGUUUUUUGCCCUAUCGCUUUCCCCUCACAUCUGGGAUGUUUAAUCCAACAUCUUCGUCCUCAUCUUCCGCUUCAGGAACGUUAAUAUUAUCCAAAUCAAUUGGAUUGUGACUUCCCUGACCGUGAAUGUGAACAUCUUCAGGUAUGGAUACGUCAUUUAAAUCAACAAAUUCAUUUGAAAAUUGACUUUGCAGCGUCCUAAGCGAUUCGCGAUGUGGCCCACAUCCCGUAUCGAAUAAGCUCUCAACAAAUGAGCUUUCAUCCAUUUAUUUGAUUGUUUAUGAUGAAAUCAUAAUAUAAUAACUAGAAAAAGAUAAAUGUAGUUAGAUUGUGAGAAUUGAGAAUUAGAUGAAUUGAAAUUGUAACUGAAUAAACCGUAAAAAAUGAAUCGAUAUUGUAUAUUUUGCAGCACAAGAAAGUAAAAACUCGAUAAUUAAUAUAAUAAAAGAGAGUUGAGAAAUGAGAUGUAGUGAUUGAGAGGAGAUAAUUAAUAUGAAAAAAAAAAUAGUUAAGGGGUAUUUAUAGUAGAAGGGGAAAAAAUUAAAAAAAAUAAAAUUUCAAUGACCGUUUCAAUCACUGAAAAAGUGAUCGUUUUGGUCACUAUACUUUGCGAGCCACGAGCCGCUCGUGGGCGGCUUGUCUUCACUCGGCUCGCCUUUCGGUGAAACCCGCUCGGCUCGUGCUCAAACUCGUGAAUCUCCAAUAAUAGGGUCCCCAACUUGGACAUGCAACAAAAUUCAAGUAUUUUACAUUAACAUAGAAUGAUGGCGAAAAAUAAAAUCACUUCAUACUCAUGAAUAAUAAAUUUAACGCCCCAAUUUUUCUUUCCUUUACAUUAAACGUUACGAAAACUCAUUUUUCUUUAAUUUAAAAAUGCGGAACUAUAUAAAAUUCUUCAAUAAACAAAUAAUUGUAACGUUUAAAUUAAAAUUAUUAAAAGCGUAUCUAACCAUAAACAUAAACUCCUAAGUAAUUCAAAUAAUGCGUUCUAAAUUAAAAUAAACAAAUUGCUAAAUUUAAAAUGGCAAACUUAUUUCUUUUUCUCUAUUCUUUAUCCACUUGGCAGUCCGCAUCACCAAUUCUCCACUGUUCCAAUCGACCCGAACUAAUCUGUAAAAUUAAUGUAAGAGUGAGUUUUAAAAAUACCCAGCAAGAUACAUGCAAAUUUCCAUACACAAAUAUAUAACAAAUAAAUAAUAUACUUCAUACCGCUCUUCUCUUAUGGAGUAUAUCGGUGACCAAGCGACACACCCACCUUAUGUCCUCUUAAUUUCCAUGUAGAAAUUUCAUAUCUCUUUCUCUAGAACCCGAAGGUCCACUAGCAUUCCAUGCAUAUUUAAUCACAUAUAAGAGCAUAAGGAAACGUAAACACUUUGCAUAUAAAUGUAACUUACCUCGUUGAAUCUACAGUAUGUUGAAAAUCGUUCCUCCGCUUUGAAAGUAUGUGAUUAAAAUACUCGAUGUAUGAAAUUCUAUUUCUAAUGCUGCUUUCUGUCUUCCUUUUUCUCUCCUUUCUUUCUCUCUCUCUUUUAUUUUUCUCUUUCUCUAUUUCACGUGUGAAUUUUUGGUGUGGUAAAAUGUGGGGUUCUAGCCUACUAUUUAUAGGUGUAGACUAGAGUAGAAGAUAGGUCUUAUCCUAACCAAAAGAUUUUUACUUGAUUUGUACUAGGCCUUUUUGUUGUUAUCAAAAAGAAAAUAGAGAGUUGGUUUGUUAUCCAAUGCAUGCCAACGUGAAGAAACAUGAUAGCUAAAUGAGACAUCAACUUUUCAAACUCUAAUAUGACUACAUCAAAGAUAUCUUCUAUCAUAAAUUCUGAAAUCGACAGCUAGCUUUUGACUUUGUUUAAUAUAUUCAUUCUUUGUACACAUACAUGACUGUUUUGAAAAAUCAUCUAAAUUCAAAUGAGUUUGAGACUAUUUACAAUACUAUAUUUGCAAAUAGAAAAUUUAUUUGCCAUCACUUAUCUAUUAUAAUAUAGUUUAUCUUCCAAAAUAAAUGCUCCAAAAUAAUUAAAAUUCUAUCUUAUUUUAAUAAAUAUUAUAUUUAAACAAAAUGUAGCAUAAUUAGUCAGCACUGCCUAGAAUAUUUAAUUAAAGGGAAUUAUAUUAAUUCCUAAUUCUAUUUAAUCUUGUUUCAUUAUUCCAUGACGGCUUUUCCCAUAAAAUGCCUCAAUCCAGCAUAAUCUACAGUUAUUUUUCCCUUAUCUAAACAUCACGUGGAGUCUAUCAACUCAUAAAGUCAAGUAAUUAAAUAAUACUAAAAUAAUCAAUCCCUAAAAUCAAGGAAACCUACCCUUCUUUUUCUCCAAAAUCAAAGCAAAUAAUUAUUAAAAUAAACCUAUUUCUUUUUAUUCAUAACCAUCUCUAUACGUACGCACCAUACAAAAUCAAGACAAUUCCAUGUACACGUGUGAACAUCACAUCUUCCUUCCAAGUUUUAAUUGAAUUUGAAAACCAAUUUCUUCAAAUCGAAAUUUCUUGGUGCUGAGUUAUCCAAAUCGACUAUUUCUCAAGCCUAAAAUUCAUAAUUAAAUACUGGCUAUCCAACGAGUAUGAUAUUAAUAUACUUAUAUUUACUCUAUCGAAAUUUAAUUAUUUGACUCAAAGUAUAAGAAUUUAAAAUAUUUUACUUCUUAGUCCCUCAACUUUUGAAAUAAUAUAAUAUAGAUAUUAAAUAAAUUUUUAUCCAAAAAAAUUUUUUUUUUUUUUUUUUUUUUGGGAUGUUACAAUAAACCCUCUAGAAAAAAAUAAACCCACUUCAAACUCAUUAAGAAACUGUUUUUAUAUUAACAUAGGAUGUAUUUUACAUUACACUAAAACCACUUCACACUCAUGAAAUUGAAGAAUAAAUAACAUUAAAUUUUUCGUAGGGAACGAAAAUGGACUGUCGGAUUGAAUUUUUUUUUAGACAAAAAAAUAAUGUUUUAUUCGUGUUGAGCACAAAUAAAUUAUUGAAAUAAAUUUUUCAAAAAUCAAUUCCAGAAAUAAAAAUUUUGAAUUUUCUCAUACACCUAAGAAAAUGAGAAAAUGGCAAAUAAAUUACUUUUAAAUCUGUCCAAAUAUCUUUGAAUAUCCCGAAACUUGAAAAGGAAUUCUUAAAUAUUAAAUUUAUUUAUUCAUUUCUUAUAUCCCACAUUUUUCUAAUAAACAUUUCCAAAAAUGCAAAAAGAACGAAAUACAAUUUUUUCAACAAGAAAAAAAAAAUCAUAGAGAGAAUCCAAACCUAGAAAUAGAAAAUCUUGAUUGUUGGGAAGAAAAAGAUCUCCCAAAAAUGUCAAAAGUGAGAUUUCUCGCACAAAUUCUUCGGAAUGGUUCGAGAGGUUUCUUUCAAUCUUUGGGAAUUAGUUGAAUAUUCUUUUUUUGGUUAGGUUUAGAAAGGGGAAAUGAUGGGUUGUGGUUUAGGCGGGUUUGAUGGGAUGUUUGUGUAUUAUUUUCUACAAAUUUUUUUUUUUUUCAUCUAAUUACAUUAACAUGAAUUACAGACAUAUAUGGGAUUUAAAUUGUUUACAGGGAUAAAAGUCUCAUCCCUCGUUUGAGCCCUAUUUUUGGGAAGAAUAAAUUUUUGAAUAGUAUAUUGAUGAAAAAUAUGUGAUUAAAAAAUAAAGAAGAUUUUUUAAUUUACGUGUAAUAUUAUUUUAUUGAAUAAUGUGUGGUUGAAAUGAUGUUAAAAUACUAUUGAAAAAUGCAUUUUUUCUAAAAAAAGGGGAUUCAAACAAGGGCUUAACGUGACAUUUUUGAAAAUGUAAAAUCAGAAAGUGACAUGGGAUGUAAUUUCUUUUAAGUAUAAUGUAUGUUUGAGCCACAUUUUCUUUUAAGAAUGUAUUUUAAAAUAGUAGAUUGAUGAAGAAUGUGUGGUUAAAAAAAUAAGAUUUUUUUUUUUAAAUUCGCAUGUAAUAUUAUUUUAUUAAAAAAUAUGUGAUUCAAAGGAAGAAAGAGAAAAUUGUAAUUUGUAAAUAAUGGAGAUCAUACAAGGCAUAAAUCUUAAAUGAGUGAUUUCUGUCACGUUUUCGAAUUUUCUUCUUAUUUUACACUUAGGACCUAUUUGAUACAAGCCAAUUCCAUGGAAAUUGGAAUUCAAAUUCCGUUUUCCACCCAUUUUGUCUUGCUUGAUGGACAACAUUUUUCAUGAAAUUUGGUUUCCCCCCCCCCCCCCCCCACGUGACCCCUUUUCUUGGUUUUUAAGAAAUUUGUUUUCCUUUGAUUUUGGUGGGAAAGUGAUUUUCAGCAAAAAAAAAAAAUUUCAAAUUUUUGGCAAUGGAAACAAAUUAUAUCCACAAUUGUAAUAAAUUAUAUCUCUUUAAUUGACAAUUUUCAUAAAAACAAAGUCAAGCGAGCAUCAAAAGAGAUAAAAUUUCAACAUUUUUAGGUGAAAAAUUAUACAAAACAAUCACAUUUAAUUGACAAUUUUCAAUAAAACAAAUUCUAAAUAAUUUGAUUUCUUGGAAUUCAUUUUCCUUUCAUUCAAAUUCCAUCCUUGCAAUCAGAAGGACCCUUAGUAAAAUAAUUAUUUCCUAUCAACAUAUUUUAUUCAAAACUAAUUUGUACACAAAAAUGCAAUUAAAAAAUUAUAUAUAUAUGAUUUUAUAAGCACAUUCUUACUUUAGUUUUCAAUAAGUUCACUAAUGCGCCCUUCUUUCAAGAGUCCUAGUCCUAUUUAUCUAUCUCUUUUCCCAGAUGAAUAUUUAGGGAUCUCUCUUCUUCAUAUGAAAAUUGCUUAUAAAGUAGUAGGUAAAAUAUUACUUAUUAUCUCUCUUUUCAAGCAUGAGAUGGAUGAUUAUCUUAAAUUGCAAUUAUAAAAAUAUUAUGUUUAUUCCAUUGAUUACUUUGAUUUAAUAAUUUGCUUUCUGGUAUUAGUUAUUACUCUUGAUUUAAUAAUUGUCUUUCUGUUCUUAGUUAUUUUAAAAUUUCACAAACAGAACAAAUCAACUUAGUAAGUUUGAAUAUUUUGAAAAAAUAUUUUCUCAUUAGACCUUUAAGAACGUAUCAAACAUCGAGUAGAGUUGAAUAUUAUAUUUUUGUCACUUGCAAGGUAAAAUAAUAGGGAAAAACAGAGUUCUAAUUUAUUGGCAAGCGAUGUCACCAGCUUAACGUCAAGCACCGUGAAAAGAAGUUCUAAUUUAUUGGUAAGAGAUGUCACCAGCUCAACGUCAAGCACCGUGAGAAGUUGAGGAAUAUCUUGUUGGCUAUCCCUUCAUUAAUGUUUGAAUAUCUAUAUUUUGAAGCGCGAAAAAAUUUAUGAAACCGAGAAAUCUUUUGAUUUUUUAUAUGCUCGAUUAUGUUUCGCUAAUUUUUCGAUAACUUAAAAUUGAAUAGAGAUGUCAAAAUAUUAGUGAAAGACAAUUGUCGAGAUUAUGAUAUUAGGACAACAAAUCUCCACUCAUAUUGAGCUGAUAAAGAAUCAAUUUCUGAGGAAAAUUGUCUUCUUUAUGGGCAAGGCCAUGUUAAGAGGUCACUGAUUUUGAUUUACUUCUCUAACUAAAAAAUUACUGUAAAGUACCAAAACUCUUAAUUAUUUUCCAAUUAAGUGGUUAAUAUUUUAGUCCACAAUGUGACUAAUGAACAUUAGGGACCAGUUGAUGGCUAAAGUUUGGUGCUUUCUUAGUCAAAUAUCAUAAAAUAAUAUAUAAUACGCUUAUCUGUUUAAGAUAAUAUAUUUAUUUUGCUACAUUGAGCAUAAUCAAACACCUCCUUUGCCUUAUCUCCGAAAUGAAGAGUCCCUUAAGCCAGCUAUCAAAAAUCACGAUACCUAAACAUAUGAAGUGUAAGAGACAAAAACAAAAACAAAAUGAAUGUACAGCACCGAGACAUCAACCAUUUGAGUGGCUCAAAGUUCAAGAUAUGAUUCAUGCAUCUAGAUUCGUCGUACUGCAGCUUCUCUCCGAAUGAAGAGGCUAGAUUUUCUUAGCUAAUCUAGCCAAUUUGCAGGAUGAACAAGUCGAUUUUCAAGUUAUUUGAACAGUUUUGUAUUUCCUGGUCUUUAACUAUGAAAGGAGCAAACUUCAAAGAAAUUUCCAAUUUUUGUUGCAAAAAAUCAGACUCAACGAUAUUAUGCAUGUCAAUGUAGUCAUGGAACCACAAUCAUAUGAUUCACAUUGUCCAAUAAAGUUAAUUAAUUCAUUAAGCAGAGAAAUGUAAACCGAAGUUAGGCAUUAAGAACAUGCAUAUGGAUUUGGUCGAAUGUUGACUAAUCUGAACAUUACACUUGUGGGCAUUUUUGGUCAAUAUCACAAUCUUAUUUACCCCCCAAGAACAUGCAUAUGGAUUUGGCCGAAUGUUGACUAAUAUGAACAUUACACUUGUGGGCAUUUUUGGUCAAUAUCACAAUCUUAUUUACCCCCCAAGAACAUGCAUAUGGAUUUGGCCGAAUGUUGACUAAUAUGAACAUUACACUUGUGGGCAUUUUUGGUCAAUAUCACAAUCUUAUUUACCCCCCAAGAACAUGCAUAUGGAUUUGGCCGAAUGUUGACUAAUAUGAACAUUACACUUGUGGGCAUUUUUGGUCAAUAUCACAAUUUUAUUUACCCCCCCCCCCCCCCCCCCCCCACCACACCAUCAAUAGAAACUGUAAACUAAAGGUAGAUUUUCAUUGACAGUUGCAGAAGCACCGUAAAAUAAAUACCAGAUUUAGUGAUCUUCAGGAUCUCCGACUUGACUGGCGCCAUUGUGAAGAGCCAGCCAUCUGCCGUCCUGAUGCAUUCGGUCUCACAUGGGUUCUGUUUGCCCUAUUAUAACUUGACCUUGACCCCAACCUUGACCUUGAUCUUGUCGGUGUGUAUCUCCUGAGAUAAGUUGACCUCGAACUUGCCGGGGUAUUUCCUCCAUUAUAACUUGAUCUUGAACUUGGGGGAACAUUUUCCCUAUUAAAAUUUGAUCUAGACCUUGAACCUGUUGAGUUGUUUCCACUGGGAUCACUUGACCUUAAAUUCAGCCGUCUCCUGUCACGUACUCUGUCAUUACUUGCUGUCGCAUAUCUCUCAGGAAAAGCUAGAUACUCAAGGAAUGAGAGAAAGAACUCAACCUCUAGAUCCGUAAAUAUAUUAUUGUUUUCACUCAAUUCAUCCUCGUCAUCCGACAGUCCACUUGGGAAGUCAAAGAAAUUCCAAUCACUCCCCAGACCAUCUUCACCCCAUUCAUCCCCGCUAGGCAAUUCGUCCAAGUCAACCCAGUCAUAUUCGAAAUCUGGCCGGUACAUACUAAGUGCAUCCUCAAGGUCCCUUUGUCGCUCCAACCUCAUCCAUUCAGAUUGCCGCUGGGUGUUGGUCUCUGACGGCCGAACAGAGGGAUGCUCGAGAGUGGCAUGCUUCCUUAACUCGGAAUAAUUUCCACUGAAGUUACAAUUUUCUAAAGAACAACUCCUCAGUUUGGAGUUCAUGAACCUUCGUGCAGGCUCCAUAGCAAGCCAUCCAGUGAUCUGUCCCCGGCAAAGGGGGCAGAUAAAAACAUGUUGCUGUCCCUCGAGGGAAUUUAUCGGCCUAGAUAAUGUUUGGUCCCCUCUGUGUCUGCGGGCUGAGGUCCUCGGUGCUGAGUCAUCUUCUUGUGGAGUGUCCACUAGUGGAGUUGGUGAUAAUGCACUAGAUGACUUGCGAAACUGACCAAAGCAAUUUGAAUGUCGAGAACUUGUGUCACACAUGUAUGGUCGACAGCCUUUAUCGUGGGA